UCCGGGGAGUGCCGGCCGUUUGUCUAUGGAGGUUGUGAGGGCAACCACAACCGCUUCAACACCAAACACGAUUGUCAGAGGUGGUGUGGGAAAGAGAGGAGAGGUCUUGAGCCUAGAAGGUGAGAGAGAGCCGCCAAUCAAGACAAUUCUUAUUUUUGUAAAUGCCAGUGUAAAAUGUUCWRAUUUUUGUGCAGAUCUGUUUUUUWAAUAUUUAAAGUAAACUAAUGAUUAUCCACACUUGAGAGAAAUGCCCAUAUAGAGCAGAGCUGCAUGGGUUUCAUAUAUUUGCAUAAUCAUUUKAAAUGCUUUAUCUGUSCCUGUUUGAGCUUGCCAGGCUUAAUAACCCAAUAGAAAAGUCCCAAAACUGCAAAACCCUGCCCAUCUGGGACUCCAGGCAGUCUUAAGCUAACGCUCAAAUUAUUUUUCAAGUAUUUUAACCCAGGUCUAAUACAGGUAUUAUAUUUUCUAUGGACUAUGACAAUUAUAGUUGACACCACCAUGUUGAAUGUU